UUGCCUACGGGGCGCAGCAGUGGGGAAUAUUGCACAAUGGGGGAAACCCUGAUGCAGCGACGCCGCGUGAGUGAAGAAGUAUCUCGGUAUGUAAAGCUCUAUCUGCAGGAAAGAUAAUGACGGUACCUGACUAAGAAGCCCCGGCUAACUACGUGCCAGCAGCCGCGGUAAUACGUAGGUGGCGAGCGUUAUCCGGAAUGAUUGGGCGUAAAGGGUGCGUAGGCGGCCUGCUAAGUCUGGAGUGAAAGGUACCGGCUCAACCGGUACAGGCUCUGGAAACUGGCGGGCUAGAGAGCAGGAGAGGG
rnacentral:rRNA from 1 species